rnacentral:rRNA from 1 species
UGGGGAAUAUUGGACAAUGGGCGAAAGCCUGAUCCAGCCAUGCCGCGUGUGUGAAGAAGGUCUUCGGAUUGUAAAGCACUUUAAGUUGGGAGGAAGGGCAGUUACCUAAUACGUGAUUGUUUUGACGUUACCGACAGAAUAAGCACCGGCUAACUCUGUGCCAGCAGCCGCGGUAAUACAGAGGGUGCAAGCGUUAAUCGGAAUUACUGGGCGUAAAGCGCGCGUAGGUGGUUAGUUAAGUUGGAUGUGAAAUCCCCGGGCUCAACCUGGGAACUGCAUUCAAAACUGACUGACUAGAGUAUGGUAGAGGGUGGUGGAAUUUCCUGUGUAGCGGUGAAAUGCGUAGAUAUAGGAAGGAACACCAGUGGCGAAGGCGACCACCUGGACUGAUACUGACACUGAGGUGCGAAAGCGUGGGGAGCAAACAGGAUUAGAUACCCCUGUAGUCCCUGAGCGGGCUGGCAAGGCGCAU